rnacentral:rRNA from 1 species
GUCAACUGCCGUGUCCUCGACUCAAAGACGGCCGCUUUCCAGGGUGCCCACCGCAAAAGGCGAAGCAAACCCACCCACCGCCGGCGAGCGACCGGCCGGUCUUUCAUCGCCGCUGCGAGCGCCCCCCCAGCUCCCCGUCGAGCCAGCGAGCCGCGAUGGGGAACGGGGAGAUCGAGGCCGCGGAGGAGGGGCUGCCGAUGCCGGCGCCGCCCGUUGGGCGCAGGUACCGGCCGGUGGGCUCCGAGGACAGCGCCGUCAUCCAGAUGACCUCCAUGGAGCCCGCCCCCGGCGGCUCCACCUCCGUCACCGGUCACGACGCCGUGACGCCCCAGCCGCCUAGGAACUUUAGGCCUGGUGGUGCUAAUCUAACUAUUGAUCCAAGCAUGCAAGAAGGUUCUAGUGAUCAUGCUACAUCCAGUGGACCUCAAAGGGAUUCAAAGCUGGAGCUUUUUGGGUUUGAUUCACUUGUGAAUAUUUUGGGCCUCAAGAGCAUGACAGGAGAACAGGCCCAAGCCCCUUCGAGUCCUAGGGAGGGAGAGGAUAUAGCAAUCACCAUUGGACGUCCAAAGGAAACUGGACCUAAGUUUGGUACAAUGAUGGGUGUCUUUGUUCCAUGCUUGCAAAAUAUCUUGGGAAUCAUUUAUUAUAUCCGUUUUACCUGGAUUGUAGGUAUGGCAGGCAUAUGGCAAUCACUUGUUUUAGUCUCAUUGUGUGGUGCUUGCACAUUUUUAACCGGCUUAUCAUUAAGUGCCAUUGCAACGAAUGGGGCAAUGAAGGGUGGUGGACCAUAUUAUCUCAUUGGUCGUGCGCUUGGUCCUGAAGUUGGAGUUAGUAUUGGAUUGUGUUUCUUUCUUGGAAAUGCGGUUGCUGGAUCCAUGUAUGUUCUGGGUGCUGUAGAAACCUUUUUGGAUGCCGUUCCUUCUGCAGGAUUGUUUCAAGAGAGUGUUACAGUGGUCAACAAUACAUUAAUAAACGGUACAGCAACAGCUGGCACAGCGACUAUAUCGACACCCAGCUUGCAUGACCUUCAAGUAUAUGGUGUUAUUGUGACCAUACUGCUCUGUUUUAUUGUAUUUGGUGGUGUCAAAAUCAUCAACAAGGUUGCACCUGCCUUUUUAAUACCAGUACUCUUUUCACUGCUGUGCAUAUAUCUUGGUGUCUUCAUUGCACCGAGACACAAUGCUCCAAAGGGAAUCACUGGGUUGCGUCUAACCUCACUCAGAGACAACUGGGGUUCAGAAUAUCAACGUACAAACAACGCUGGAGUUCCUGAUCCAAACGGUUCAAUAUAUUGGGAUUUCAAUGCUUUGGUAGGUCUCUUUUUCCCAGCAGUCACUGGAAUUAUGGCUGGUUCAAACCGAUCUGCUUCACUCAAAGAUACACAGCGUUCAAUACCAGUUGGAACAUUAUCUGCAACUCUUACAACAACUGUUAUGUACUUGUUAUCUGUGCUGUUGUUUGGAGCUUUGGCCACAAGAGAAGAGCUUCUAACUGAUAGGCUUCUUACCGCUACAGUGGCAUGGCCUGCACCAGUAGUGAUUUACAUUGGUAUCAUCCUGUCCACUUUAGGUGCAGCGCUACAGUGUUUGACAGGGGCUCCAAGGUUACUAGCAGCAAUAGCAAAUGACGAUAUCCUUCCAGUCCUUAAUUACUUUAAGGUUUCUGAAGGAGUCGAACCUCACGCAGCUACUCUAUUCACAGCAUUAAUCUGUAUUGGAUGUGUGAUUAUUGGGAACUUAGAUUUAAUCACACCCACUAUCACUAUGUUUUUUCUGUUGUGCUAUGCUGGUGUGAACCUGUCGUGCUUUCUGCUCGACUUACUUGAUGCUCCAAGUUGGCGCCCUCGAUGGAAAUAUCACCACUGGAGUCUUUCACUUGUUGGUGCAUUGCUUUGUGUUGUUAUCAUGUUUUUGAUCUCCUGGUCUUUCACUGUUAUCUCCCUUGCCCUUGCAAGCCUCAUCUAUUACUAUGUGAGUCUAAAAGGGAAGGCUGGAGACUGGGGAGAUGGGUUCAAGAGUGCUUAUUUUCAGUUGGCAUUGCGAAGUCUCAGAUCGCUAGGAGCAAACCAAGUUCAUCCUAAGAAUUGGUACCCCAUUCCUCUGAUAUUAUGCCGUCCUUGGGGUAAACUUCCAGAAAAUGUCCCUUGUCAUCCAAAACUUGCCGAUUUUGCUAAUUGUAUGAAGAAGAAGGGCCGUGGUAUGUCAAUAUUUGUCUCAACAAUUGACGGUGAUUAUCAUGAGCUGGCUGAGGACGCUAAGACUGCCUGUCAGCAGCUGGAGGCCUACAUUGAGUACAAACAAUGUGAGGGUGUUGCAGAGAUAAUCGUAGCACCUUCGAUGUCUGAGGGCUUCCGCAGCAUUGUUCAGACGAUGGGCCUAGGGAACUUGAAGCCGAAUAUUGUUGUGGUGCGGUACCCUGAGAUUUGGCGCCGUGAGAAUCUGACAGAGAUACCGUCAACAUUUGUGAGUAUAAUAAACGAUUGCAUCAUUGCUAACAAGGCAGUGGUUAUCGUGAAGGGUCUUGAUGAGUGGCCUAAUGAGUUCCAGAGACAGUAUGGGACUAUUGACCUGUAUUGGAUUGUGAGAGAUGGAGGAUUGAUGCUUCUUCUGUCUCAGCUCCUGCUCACAAAAGCGACCUUUGAAAGCUGCAAGAUCCAAGUCUUCUGCAUAGCUGAAGAGGACACUGAUGCUGCAGAGCUAAAGACUGAUGUCAAAAAGUUCUUGUACGAUCUUAGGAUGCAUGCCGAGGUCAUUGUCGUGACUAUGAAGUCAUGGGAAUCUCACAUGGAGAGCAGUAGCAGUGGUGCUCAGCCAGAUGACUCCCAAGAGGCCUACACAAGUGCACAGCAAAGGGUCAGUGCAUACCUUUCCGAGAUGAAGGAAACCACGGAAAGAGAAGGACGGCCGCGGAUGGUGGAUGGGAAGCAAGCUGUUGUGAAUGAAGAAAAGGUCGAUAAAUUCCUCUAUACAAUGUUUAAGUUGAACUCCACAAUACUGAGGCACUCCAGGAUGGCAGCUGUGGUGCUAGUGAGCCUCCCUCCGCCACCGCUGAAUCAUCCUGCAUACUUCUACAUGGAGUACAUGGAUCUGCUUGUAGAGAACGUCCCACGCAUGUUGAUAGUUAGGGGAUACAGAAGAGAUGUUGUCACAUUUUUUACUUGAUCAAAUAUAAUACAGUCUGAGCUCUUGUGCCCUCCUAGCAGCAGAAUGGAUACACAGAUUUGCAGAAUUCACCACAACUGCAGUUGGAAGGCCUCUCAUUGACAGCUAUCUUAUGAGAUACACUGGGUGGUUAUUGCAAUAUUAGGUACACAAACAUUAGUAUAUUCAUUCUUUUACUGGACACAAAAGAGAUGAAUAUUGGGACAUUACAAAUUUUGUAGCCCUGUUCUCCAUACCUUGAUAGUUUUAUAGAAACACAAUGCCUCCUAUUUUUCACCGGAACAGUAGCGAUAGUGAUCCUGUUUGUGUUAUUUAACAUUAUCUGUACACGAUCUGAGAUGCUGUGCAACUGUUGUUGAAAGGGAGCAAUACCAAUGCUAUAAUUAGAGAAUAUUCUGGUAAUGCCCGAUGCCGAUACAUCUCUUGGGAACAUCAGCUGAUAUGAUGUUUUACUGGACUUGUGUUGACAUACUAGGAAGUCUUUAUUAUGCAUUGCACUGCUGUUGUUGUCACUACUGAGAGUUCUUCUGUCAAAUACAGAGUAUAAUAAAUUUUGUUGGUGUGAA